AGCGAACGCUGGCGGCAGGCCUAACACAUGCAAGUCGAACGAACCUUUCGGGGUUAGUGGCGGACGGGUGAGUAACACGUGGGAACGUGCCUUUAGGUUCGGAAUAACUCAGGGAAACUUGUGCUAAUACCGAAUGUGCCCUUCGGGGGAAAGAUCUAUCGCCUUUAGAGCGGCCCGCGUCUGAUUAGCUAGUUGGUUGAGGUAAUGGCUCACCAAGGCGACGAUCAGUAGCUGGUCUGAGAGGAUGAUCAGCCACAUUGGGACUGAGACACGGCCCUAACUCCUACGGGAGGCAGCAGUGGGGAAUCUUGCGCAAUGGGCGAAAGCCUGACGCAGCCAUGCCGCGUGAAUGAUGAAGGUCUUAGGAUUGUAAAAUUCUUUCACCGGGGACGAUAAUGACGGUACCCGGAGAAGAAGCCCCGGCUAACUUCGUG
rnacentral:rRNA from 1 species